UGACCCGUCUUGAAGCACGGACCAAGGAGUCUAACACGUGCGCGAGUCGCAGGGUUGUACGAAACCCGAGGGCGUAACGAAAGUGAACGAGAUCUUCGGAUCUAUCAGGUGGGAUCCCGAAGCCUUCGGCGACGGGCGCACCACCGGCCUGUCUCGGCCGCCACGCCGGCGAGGCGGAGCAAGAGCGUACGCGUUGGGACCCGAAAGAUGGUGAACUAUGCCUGAGCAGGAUGAAGCCAGAAGAAAUUCUGGUGGAAGUCCGCAGCGAUUCUGACGUGCAAAUCGAUCGUCAAACUUGGGUAUAGGGGCGAAAGACUAAUCGAACCAUCUAGUAGCUGGUUCCUGUCGAAGUUUCCCUCAGGAUAGCUGGCGCUCAUACCAGCAGUUUUAUCCGGUAAAGCGAAUGAUUAGAGGCCUUGGGGACGUACAGACCUCAACCUAUUCUCAAACUUUAAAUGGGUAAGACGUCCGUCUCGCUCGAUUGGAGUCGGACAUGCGAAUGCGAGUGCCAAGUGGGCCAUUUUUGGUAAGCAGAACUGGCGCUGUGGGAC
rnacentral:rRNA from 1 species